rnacentral:rRNA from 1 species
AUACGUAGGGUGCGAGCGUUGUCCGGAAUUACUGGGCGUAAAGAGCUCGUAGGUGGUUUGUCGCGUCGUCUGUGAAAUUCCGGGGAUUAGCCCGGGGCGGGCAGGCGAUACGGGCAUAACUUGAGUACUGCAGGGGGGACUGGAAUUCCGGGGGUAGCGGGGAAAUGCGCAGAUAUCAGGAGGAGCACCGGUGGCGAAGGCGGGUCUCUGGGCAGUAACUGACGCUGAGGAGCGAAAGCAUGGGUAGCGAACAGGAUUAGAUACCCUGGUAGUCCAUGCCGUAAACGGUGGGCGCUAGGUGUAGGGGUCUUCCACGACUUCUGUGCCGUGGCUAACGCAUUAAGCGCCCCGCCUGGGGAGUACGGCCGCAAGGCUAAAACUCAAAUGAAUUGACGGGG